GACGAACGCUGGCGGCGUGCUUAACACAUGCAAGUCGAACGGAAAGGCCCUGCUUGCAGGGUACUCGAGUGGCGAACGGGUGAGUAACACGUGGGUGAUCUGCCCUGCACUUCGGGAUAAGCCUGGGAAACUGGGUCUAAUAUCGGAUAGGAGCCAUUUUUAGUGUGAUGGUUGGAAAGUUUUUUCGGUGUAGGAUGGGCUCGCGGCCUAUCAGUUUGUUGGUGGGGUAAUGGCCUACCAAGGCGGCGACGGGUAGCCGGCCUGGGAGGGUGGACGGCCACAUUGGGACUGGGAUUCGGCCCAGACUCCUACGGGGGGCAGCAGUGGGGAAUAUUGCACAAUGGGCGCAAGCCUGAUUCAGCGACGCCGCGUGGGGGAUGACGGCCUUCGGGUUGGAAACUCCUUUCGCUAGGGACGAAGCUUUUUGUGACGGUACCUAGAUAAGAAGCACCGGCUAACUACGUG
rnacentral:rRNA from 1 species